UACGUAGGGUGCAAGCGUUAAUCGGAAUUACUGGGCGUAAAGCGCGCGUAGGCGGAUCAGAAAGUUAGGGGUGAAAUCCCAGGGCUCAACCCUGGAACUGCCUCUAAAACUCCUGGUCUUGAGGUCGAGAGAGGUGAGUGGAAUUCCGAGUGUAGAGGUGAAAUUCGUAGAUAUUCGGAGGAACACCAGUGGCGAAGGCGGCUCACUGGCUCGAUACUGACGCUGAGGUGCGAAAGCGUGGGGAGCAAACAGG
rnacentral:rRNA from 1 species